rnacentral:rRNA from 1 species
UACGGGAGGCAGCAGUGGGGAAUAUUGCACAAUGGGCGCAAGCCUGAUGCAGCCAUGCCGCGUGUAUGAAAAAGGCCUUCGGGUUGUAAAUACUUUCAGUCGUGAGGAAGGUGUUAAGGUUAAUAACCUUAGCAAUUGACGUUAGCGACAGAAGAAGCACCGGCUAACUCCGUGCCAGCAGCCGCGGUAAUACGGAGGGUGCGAGCGUUAAUCGGAAUUACUGGGCGUAAAGGGCACGCAGGCGGUUAAUUAAGUUGGAUGUGAAAUCCCCGGGCUUAACCUGGGAAUGGCAUUCAAGACUGGUUAGCUAGAGUCUUGUAGAGGGGGUAGAAUUCCAUGUGUAGCGGUGAAAUGCGUAGAGAUGUGGAGGAAUACCGGUGGCGAAGGCGGCCCCGUGGACAAAGACUGACGCUCAUGUGCGAAAGCGUGGGGAGCAAACGAGGGAUUAGAUACC